AAGCAAACCAUGUGUAGCCCCUGGGGAGGGGUCUUCAGAAGCAGCAUGUGCAAGAGCUCUGUUCCCAGGCUCGUUGCUUCGAUCUUAGCAAGAACCUGGAAAGCAGAUGCAUGCAGGUACAAGCCUUGCUGUGCACUUGGGUUCCCUCGUUCCUCCCUUUUUAUGGAGGAGGGUCUGCAGAGCCUUGGGUGAGCCCUUGGCUGUGCUGCUGGCACAGGCUGUGCAGGAGCCCACAUGGACCAGAACAAGCUGCCUCCUCCAUGUCCCUGGCCACGUAACGGGGUGUUCACUUGCCACCUGGUGCAGAACCUGCUGCUAGCUGGUGCCUGGAACAAAAUGAGCCUCUAGGAAGGGGAGGAAUGCUACAUCCAAGUUCUAUGAAAGUGGGUUUAUAUCACUUUUCCCUAGAGGUCCCUCCUGCAGGAGGCCAGAAGUGUAACCUGGAGCACCGAGCCCUGGUGCCCCUGACAUAUAAAAAUAAGGCCUAGUCAAAAUGGGCUCCAAGGGGAGGAGUGUGCAGGAGCUUCUGGUGGAGAAGCAUGGCUGACAGCAGCGAGGGGUUCUCCCCUCACUUGAGUAGAGGGGACCACGCUUAGACUCAGAGCAAAGCAUACACAAGGGGCUGUGUCCAGAGCAGCUCUCGGGUGCGGUAAAUGGGCUGAGGACACGGUGCAUCACGCUUCCUGGGAGACGAGCUGAGGGCCAGCGCUUCCUUCAGGCCACACGCCACUGCAUGAGUCAUAGAAACACGGAACACCCCAAACUGGAAGGGACGCACAGGGGUCACAUAGACCAACCCCAGACUCCACGCAAGGCCACCCGCACCCUACGGCUGAGAGCGGUGUCCCAGCACUCCCUGGGCACUGGCAGCUCGGGGCCGUGCACGUCACCCUCUGGGGCAGAGCCUUUCCCUGACUCCCCAGGCUGAGCCGAGCAGCGGGGAUCUCCCGCUACGCCCCAACGCAGCGGCUCGGGGACGGCGCCGGGCGGCGAGGGCGCUCUCGGGGGGUGCAGUACCUCGCCUGGCCGCCAGGGGGCAGCACCACGCCGCCCGCCCGUCCCACCUGCGCGGGACGCGCUGCGCCUUUGUCAAGGCGGAGUGCCGAAAGCAAGCAGCGCCGUGUUCGAGCACGGGCAUCAUCGUGCGACUUCACGGUUCCACUUCAGAACCGCUUCAGAGCUCCUGAAGCUCCUUUGCCUUCUCUGGGUGCGCAGCCGCUCGGAAUGGUGAGAAUCGGGCCACGCGUUAUCGUGGGCUCCAGCUUUGACCCCAGCACUUGGACACGAGAUGAUGAAUCCCAAGAGAUGCCUCUGAGCCGUUGUUCCUCGCUGCAGGAACACAGUGUCAGGCCGUGCCCUCCUCCAGGCGGGGAGCUCGUGGCUGUUUCAGGCCCUGUCCGUACCCACUGUGUGCAGCCCAGCGUGCCCUGCUGCUGGGACGAGUCCUUCCUUGGUUCCUUUUCACUUCUUUGUGCUUUCUGCAGGGGACCCAACAGGUACUUGGUGUUGAUGGAUGGGUUUUGUGACUGGAAAGUUGGUGCGAUGACUCCUCAAAUGGCCAAUGAAAAUCUUGUAGCGAGUGCUGAAGAAGUUAUUAAUGAUUGUAAGUUCCCACAGCUUUUGCCUGGAGGCCUCCUUUGUUCUCUUCUUUGUCUAAAACUCGUAUGAAGUAAGAGCUCACAAUUUACUUUGCAUUAGCAGUCCCCUUGCUGUAGCAGAGCAGGCGCUGCCUGGCUGGGCUGUAGGUGGAUCCGUGCGAGGUGCUCUGAGCAGGAUGGGUCUUUGCACUGCAUUUCUUCCUGGGCUCUCCUUUGCUUUAGCUCAUGACCUCGGUGCUGCACAUGGUCCAUGGCAUCCUGUUAGAUUUCGGUAACUGAGGGAAGUCUGCAUCAUACUGAUGCUGCCUUCACUGAAAACAUCGAUGCCUGCAAUUCAGCUUUAUCCGCAUUAACUUUAAUUUCUUGGGCCUGGAGGAGACUUCCCUCUUGCAGCCCAGUUCCAACCAGGGAAGAUCUGCCUCCUGCUGCCAUCCUCAGCAAGCUGCUGUUCCUUGCUAUGAAGGCAAACUGGGAAGUGCUCUCCUGGUGAAGGUGGGAGCUCACAACGAGAUUCUGGAGGUGAACUUGGUGGCGUUAGAGGAGCGGUGGCUGCGCCAUGCCCAGGAUGCUGCGUGUGCCACCGGGUGCCCAACGCCUGGUGCUGGGUGACCCAGCCCUUGCACCGCCCUGGGGCAGCGUCCUGCAGAGAGAAGCGUGCAGGAGGUGCUCUUCCUUUUGAAGAGGGAAUGGUGAUGUGCUAGCAAGGAUCUCAGAGCCUCUGUGAGCUGAUAAAUCCAAAAGAUGCCGGAUUGCAUCAGAACCAUCUUCACUGUGAACAACCGAGACAAGACCUGAAUCAGGUAACAGAAGUUGCUGUGUGCCAGUGCUGCGUGUGGCAGAGGUGUCUUCAUGUCAUGCUGGGCACGUCGCCCACUUACACCCUGCCUUCCCUGUCCGCAGUGGCCUCCUUCAUGUUUCAGUACAAAGUGAUGCUCCCAUGUAUGCACUGAUGAGGAUGGCUGCUUCCCACUGCCCCUCAGGCUCAAUCUGCUGCUCUUCCCAAUUUACUCCAGUGGUCUCUAGAAUCCUGCUGCUGCCCACCCCCGUGGCCUUGUUCUGUUACCCAGACUCCUUCCCUCUGAUGACUUCCUUGCUCCGAAGCUGUUUGGUGUUGGCCCACGCAGUCCUGGGGAUUAUUUGACCAUUGCUACCCCAGCAUUUGCUCCUUGCAAAACCCAUCAGUGCCCCGUCCUCCCCAGCAGCGCCUCCGCUCCGCACCACGGGAAGGCUGCAGGUAUCCCCGCAGUGAGCAGCGUGCUGCUGCCAGGGAUCCCCUGACACGUUGGCGUUCAUCAGCCUGUCAGCAUUCAGCUUUUUCUCUUCCAUCCUCCCGGGGGGGGGGGAUGGCCUCUGCUCCUCGCACGGCAGCCAUCCUGCAGCAGAGUUGCAGACAAGCCCGGCAGCAGCGCCAGCUCUGGGAGCUGUGCUCGGGGUGAGCCCACGCGCGGGGCUGUGACUGCGCUGGCAUCGGCCGUGGUGCAGCCGGGAAGCCAACGAGAACCUCUUUAUAUAAACUCCAUUUUCUGGUUGUUGGUUUUUUUUUUUUUCAUAAAAGCCCUUCUAAUUUGUACCAAAGAGGCUCGAGCAUGCCCCUGGGACUGGUAAAAAUAAUAAUAGCUUAAGUGGUAGAAGACUGUGAAUUUGAAACAGAAGGUUAUGAGACUUAAAAGUAUUACAAAAACGUCAACAUUGUAUAUCAAUAAAUGUAAUUUAGAUAUACAAAGGAGAUAGCGGAGACUUAAACAAAGAACUGUCAAGCUUUACCUCUUCAGAUCUCCUUGAAACAAAGCAGAUGUCUUCAUCCAAUUGAUCCUGAGAAGCCGGCCUUCGCAUCCAAAAGCAUUUCAUUUAAAAAAAUCACAAAUGAAUUACUCAUUACAAAAAUUACAUGGUUUGCUAUUUUUCAAUCAUUUUUUUAUUCCGAGAUGAAACACACAUGUUUGUGUUGGCCGCUCCAGCGCAGCGCUCCCCAACGCUGGGAACAGGGAGCUGCGGCCGUGCAGCGGGAGGCGGAGGCGAAUGGCUCUCAUUAAAGGGCUCUCAUUACAGCCCUAUCUGCUGGCUGCUUGAAAAAUGCCCUGGUAAUAAGCGGUUUAAUUGUGAGUACUGCGUGCCGUAACAAAUGGCUGCUGCCUCCUUCCAAAUCCUCCGCCAGUCGUCCAAGUGUCCCUCAUCAAACCCUGAUCCAACGCGGAGUCUGAAGAGGAAAUUGCUGCUUUAAGGCCCUGUUACCACGGGAUAUUACGUCUGAGCCCUGUGAUCUUUCUCCUCGCAUAAAGCUGUGACUGUUGGGAUACAUCUAAGAACAAGCGCUCGGGUUUUCCUUCCCUGGGUUAUUGCUGUCACACGUUCUGGGUGCUGAGGCUGCAAAUCACUGCCCUGGCUCAGCCCAGGGCCUCAGCCCUCGGGGGUCCCUCGGCCCAGGGCCCUGGUGUGCAGCUCCUGGUGGCCCCAGGGUGAGCAGGAGGCAGCUCCAUGUGUCUGCCUUAUGUCUGCUCCCGCUUGGACAGAAAUUCCUGGGAUUUGCCCUUUGCAAAGGCAAUGCUUUGGGUGGUCACCCUGAGGUGUCUCAGUGCCGGGGUUAUCCCAGCCGCAGCUCUUUGGGCAGCGUGGUGCCUGAGGGGGGGUGCUGUGCAGAGGUUCAGCUCACGUCACCUUGAAGUAAGGCCACAGCGCUGUGCUUGGUACACUGCCA